CGCCCCUGUGGAUCUAGAAGUUGAAGGAUUGGAGAACAAAAUAAAAAAGGAAGAGGAUGAAGAUGGACGUUACUACUUCGAAGGAACCUCAGUCACUGUGGAACACGUCACCUCUGAGGAACAUCUCACCCCAGAGGACCAACAGAAUGAAGGUUUCCAGGUGAAGACUGUAAAAAAGGAGGAAGAUGAAGAUGAACUCAAAACGAACGACGAUUCCUCAUGUCCACGUUCCUCUACAACCCAAAAUCACCUCCACAACCACAUCGAGACGAG